GUGCCAGCCGCCGCGGUAAGACAGAGGGUGCAAACGUUGCUCGGAUUUACUGGGCGUAAAGCGCGUGUAGGCGGGCGUCUAAGUCGGGUGUGAAAUCCCUGGGCUCAACCUAGGAACUGCACUCGAAACUGGACACCUGGAGUGAUGGAGAGGAGAGCGGAAUUCCCGGUGUAGAGGUGAAAUUCGUAGAUAUCGGGAGGAACACCAGUGGCGAAGGCGGCUCUCUGGACAUUUACUGACGCUGAGACGCGAAAGCGUGGGGAGCAAACAGGAUUAGAUACCCGAGUAGUCC
rnacentral:rRNA from 1 species